AUCUAGCUGACGAGUCCCAAAUAGGACGUAACGCGCAUCAAACUUGAU
rfam:Schistosoma rodhaini strain Burundi genome assembly, scaffold: SROB_scaffold0000516